rnacentral:tRNA from 1 species
AUUUAAAUAACUUAAAUUGAGAGUGUUAUAUUGAAGAUAUAAAAGUGAUUAUUGUAUAAUUUUUAAAUA